GACGAACGCUGGCGGCGUGCUUAACACAUGCAAGUCGAACGGUGAAGCGCCUUCCUUUUUGGUGGGUGUGGAUGAGUGGCGAACGGGUGAGUAACACGUGAGUAACCUGCCCCCUUCUUCUGGAUAACCGCAUGAAAGUGUGGCUAAUACGGGAUAUUCUGGGUCUGUCGUAUGAUGGGUCUGGGAAAGAUAUUGUUUCGGUGGGGGAUGGGCUCGCGGCCUAUCAGCUUGUUUGUGGGGUGAUGGCCUACCAAGGCGGUGACGGGUAGCCGGCCUGAGAGGGUGGACGGUCACACUGGGACUGAGACACGGCCCAGACUCCUACGGGAGGCAGCAGUGGGGAAUAUUGCACAAUGGGCGCAAGCCUGAUGCAGCGACGCCGCGUGAGGGAUGGAGGCCUUCGGGUUGUGAACCUCUUUCGCCAGUGAAGCAGGCCUGCCUCGUUUGUGGGUGGGUUGACGGUAGCUGGAUAAGAAGCGCCGGCUAACUACGUG
rnacentral:rRNA from 1 species